GGGGGCAGGAGGUUCGACUCGAGCGAAGCGAGAGAACGUUGCGUCAGCAACGGCCCGCAGGGCGAGUCACGCAGUGGCGAGUCAUCCUCUAUCACCGACCA
rnacentral:sRNA from 1 species